UACGUAGGGUGCGAGCGUUAAUCGGAAUUACUGGGCGUAAAGUGUGCGCAGGCGGCAGAGCAAGUCGAGUGUGAAAGCCCCGGGCUUAACUUGGGAAUUGCGCUCGAAACUACUUUGCUGGAGUGUGGCAGAGGAAGGUGGAAUUCCACGUGUAGCGGUGAAAUGCGUAGAGAUGUGGAGGAACACCAAUGGCGAAGGCAGCCUUCUGGGCCAACACUGACGCUCAUGCACGAAAGCGUGGGGAGUAAACAGG
rnacentral:rRNA from 1 species